rnacentral:rRNA from 1 species
UCCGUAGGCGGGCAAUUAAGUCAGGGGUGAAAGUCUGCGGCUCAACCGUGGGACUGCCCUUGAUACUGGUUGCCUUGAAUCGUUGUGAAGUGGCUAGAAUGAGCAGUGUAGCGGUGAAAUGCAUAGAUAUUGCUCAGAAUACCGAUUGCGAAGGCAGGUCACUAACAACGUAUUGACGCUGAGGGACGAAAGCGUGGGGAGCGAACA